rnacentral:rRNA from 1 species
GACGAACGCUGGCGGCGUGCUUAACACAUGCAAGUCGAACGGAAAGGCCCUGCUUUUGUGGGGUGCUCGAGUGGCGAACGGGUGAUUAACACGUGAGUAACCUGCCCUUGACUUUGGGAUAACUUCAGGAAACUGGGGCUCAUACCGGAUAGGAGCUCCUGCUGCAUGGUGGGGGUUGGAAAGUUUCGGCGGUUGGGGAUGGACUCGCGGCUUAUCAGCUUGUUGGUGGGGUAGUUGCUUACCAAGGCAGUGACGGGUAGCCGGCCUGAGGGGGUGAACGGCCACAUGGGGACUGAGAUACGGCCCAGAGUCGUACGGGAGGCAGCAGUGGGAAAUAUUGCACAAUGGGCGGAAGCCUGAUGCAGAGACGCCGCGUGCGGGAUGACGGCCUUCGGGGUAUAAAAAGCUUUCGCCUGUGACGAAGCGUGAGUGACGGUAAUGGAUAAAGAAGCACCGGCUAACUACGUG